ACCACAUGCAAACUCCCUCCAAAACGCCAGCGCCGUCCCCGCGCCGAGCGGCUCCGGCAGCGGGCGGCAGCGCUGCGCGCCCCGGGCGGCGGGGCGGGGGGGGGUGGGGUGGGGUGGGGUGGCCGGGGGCGGCCCGGCGGGGAGCAGCAGCUUCUCCUCCCCCUCGACGCGGGGAGCGCGUCCGCCGCUCCGCCGGGGCUGUCCGCUCCCCCCUCCGGACGGAUACGGGGCGAGGCGGGGGGCGGCCAGGCCCCGCGGGGCCGUCACCGCACCCACCCCACCCCCUCCUGGAAAGAAGGGAGAGAGAUAACGGACACCCCGCAGGGUGUGCUCAGGGCCGAGGUGCAGGAGAUGGGUGAAAUCAAAUACGCCCGGAGGGCGCGGGGCUGCAGCCCCACCUGAGCUCCCAGCGCACCUGGGCACGGCCCGGCACGGCUGUGCGAGGCUGUCCCGCCCAGAGCAGCCCCGUAGUCACCCCCGCGCACACCUCGGCCUUAAGGACAGGAGACCCCCGGUGCCUGUGGGUCUGCCACGAAAGUCCCGGCGCUCAGCGAGCCGCCACGUGUGUUCGAACACGGACAAGUCGCCUCUUUUGCCCCCUGCCCCUCCAAAAGCGCAGUUUGCCCAACUUCUCUGCUUCUUCAUUUGCUGCGUCUCAGUCUUUAGCGUGGGAGAACCUGGAGAGGGACAGCCUGGGCUGCGCGUGGCGUGGGAUUAGCGGUAGCCCCGAGGAAGGCUGUACACGGGUUUAGAUUAGGAUAAAGCGUUUAUUGAUCGUUGCCUAGAGAUGCCCACUGCCGAAACGCUGAGUUCCUUCGCCCCUUCUCUUCGCUCUGCCUUCCUCCUCCUCCCCGCAAACCAAACUUAAAGUGAAAAGAAAAAAAAAAAAAAAAAAAGCACUGCGCUCUGCCAUUUCAGUCUAAACUCUUGGGUCCAUGUGCGAAAGAUAAAAAUGAAUUUGAAUCGCCAUUGGAAAAAAUCAGGAAUUGUAUGAGAUUUGCAAGAGCUGCUUUCUUAAACGGAAAUUGAGUCCUAUUUUGUGGGAAAUUAGUUUUGCAGACUUUCUGAAAAAAAAAAAAAUCUAAAACUUUUGUUCAGCAGCUGCUCCACUUUUCCCUGCAGUUUCAGGCUGAGCUGGAACCUGCAGCAGUCUUUCGACGGUAAGACUUUCCCCCCUUUUCUGCCAUCUAAUGCUUUUUAAGAAUUGUCUCUAGAUUUAGCUGUAACAACGCGGUCUUUAAAAAGAGAGCGGCGUCCAAAGCAGAAGUCGCUGCCUCCGUGCACUGUUCAAAACUUGAUAUUUCUUCAGAAUAAAGGAAAUAUACAGUUACAACACUGAUGAAAUAUUUUGUGCUUUUCAUUGUGUUUAUCGUUUCAAUAUGUGCUCUGAUAUUAAAAAAAAGAAAAGAAAAGAAAAAGAAAAAAAAGAAAGAAAAGAGUACAAAGAAAUCGCAGUGGCUGAAACGCUCUUGGUUCCGCGAACCCGCCGGGCCGUGGGUGCGGUGAUGCCGCUCUCCCCGCAACGGGGAGUGCCACCAAAGCACGGAGCCGCCGGCCCUGCCGACCCCGGUCUCAUCUCCCCGCCGCGGGCGGCCCCAGGUGGGCGCGGGGAGCGGCCGCCCGGCCCCGCUGCGCUCCGCGGCUCUCCAACCUGCUGCUGUCAGUCCGCCCGCCCCGGCCGCGGGGGCGAGACGCCGUCGUGGGGGCCGGGGCCGGGCGGGGGGGGGAAGGAAUGCAGGGACCCGUCCUGCAAGGGCGGCCGCUGCCGGAGCUCUGACACCGGCACGGAUGAGAAGGGGCCGGGGAAGUCCCGGACCCAAAGCACUGUGAAAGUGGCUUUUUUUUUUUUUUUUCUUUUUUUUUUUUUUAAUUCUGGGGGAUGGCCGCACAAGAUUUCUCGCGCGGGAUAAGAAAAGGGGGAAUAAGUGAAGCAAAGCGAGAGGGUGCGAGGGGGAGGGAGAAAGACUGGGCUUCCAAGAGGAGGUAAGAGAUGGACCCAAAUCGCACUUUUUAGGGAGAGGUAGGAGAGGCUCGAAAAGGUGAAGAAUUAAAAAAGAAGAGGAAUGCAGUAAGAAAGCCAUAAUGGCACGGCAACGUCUUUGCCAUCAGCUUCAUAAACAAACGUGAAUAAGUGGGGCUGCAUUUCCUUUGGCGCUGAUGUCCCCCAGUGCAUACACACGUCCCACAUCAAGUGUUCUUAGCACUUCUUCCAUCAGCGCUUUGAAGCACAGAAGAACUGGAAAUGCAAACCUCAAUGAAGCGUUGUGCUUUCAUUUUAAACGAUAUGGGGAGAAGGCAAACACAGGCAACUCAUGAUGAGGCAGAUAAACGGACAUUUACUGGAGCAAUCCAGAAAGUUUCUGUACGGAGCUAUCGAAUAACUAUGGUUACGUGAUGCCAUACUUUGUAAACAUUUGUGAUUUUUUCAAAGAAAGCUCCAGUGCAAAGCUUCUUGGUGUAAUAAUUACUGAAGAAAGUGUAAGCAGCUAUUACCUCUCAAUGUAAAUGGUUGGAUUCUUGUUCAUACUGUAUCUUUUUAGAAUGUGUGUUUGACCUACAUAUGGUACAAAAGCAUUACUUAAAUCAAUGCCAGCAAGUUUGCCCAAAGCUUAUAACAUCAAGUGAAAAAAUAGAAUGUUUUAAAUAUGAAAACAGUAAACCGUUUAACUCAUAAAAACAUCUGGAGCCAACGCAGUUUGGAACAUCAUUUAUAUUUUCAUAUAAGGGCUAAUAUUUGCAUUUGCUUUGUGUUUUUUGGUUGCGGUUGUUGUUUCCUUUUUUAACUUACGAUUUAUGGCAAAAGAGAUCAUAUGAAAUUGACCUGAAUGAACCAGCACAGUUUCUUUGCUUCAGGACUUCUGUAGCCUCGCUUGGUACUUUACGUUGGAGGCUAAAAGCACCAUCUUCCCGAGCAAUGCCAGAAUGACCCAGACCUGAACUCAGUGAAGACAACAGGAAUCUUUCCAUUACUUUAUGACAAAGGAUUGGAAACCAAGUCUCCCUCUGGGAUGAGAAGUGAAUUGCAUGACUUCCAACCAGAAAAGCUACAAUCUGCAUCAGGAUGCUUGACUGUCCCAGCGCACCCAAGUUUCUGAGUGUUUGUACAAAAGCUGCAGAUUUGCUGUGUCAGCAUGUUAGGCAGCAAUGCUUCUAACGACAAGAAAUAAAAUAUGUUUCUCUGACUCAGUGUCAACAGUAUUUACAUGUCAAUCCCGGUUACAUUUUAUUUUACUAUGACUUAAAUUAGAGUAAUUCAAUCACAAUUUUAUUUCUCCUGUGCUUGUGUUUUAGUCUCAGAGAAGUUGCCUUUUUAAAAAUCUGACUUAUCACAGAGAGCACAAUACAAAUAUUACACCUUAGUUUUUUUAAGCAGUGAACACACACAUUGGUCAUUAAUUUGCCCUUUCGUAAAAGGACACUUUUCAGUUCUGUCCUCUAAGAUCUACAGUAAGGUCUUUUCUUUGAGGAAGAAAACAGGUUAAUAAAUAAUCCAAAUUCUGAGGUUUAUUGGCCUUUUUUGUCAUUCACCUCCAGUGGGAAUUAUAGCAAGGAACAUUUGCCCUUGUUAACCUGCAAACAUUUUUCACUCAGUUAGGUCAUUGCCUCUGGCUCAAGGGUCCAAUUUUCCUUUCAUUCAUUAAGCACAUUGGGAAGCGGAGUUCCUAACCCUUUCCAGUCUAAAUGUGGAACAAUCACAUCCCCUCACAAUCAAGUGCCCAUGUGCUGGGACCUUUACGUUUCACUGUGAUCUCUCAGUGACGCAAAUUUUUAACAAUUGAAGGAUAUUAAGUCAAAAAGUCGUUUUCUAAUUGGAGGAGCUCAGGGGAUUUCAAAUAAUGAACUCUUACAAACUGGAAGCUGGUACAUGUGCCUUUUUAAUUAUUAUAUAUACUUUUUUUUAAAUUGGGGGAGAGGGCACUGCUAAUCUCAGAAAGCAGAUUCUAGAAGUUCUGCCUAGGAAUAAAGGAAGGCCAUGAAGGAUAACGGUUAAUCAGGCAUUAAAAAAAAUAAUAUUGUUUUAUGAGUUGAACUGACAUAUUCUCAUAUAUCAUUUUAUUGGAUGGUGUAACUGCUAGAGAACAACGCCAUUUCAGUUUUUAAAAUUGUAUGUGACAUAACUAAUUCAGAUAUUACUUUUGGGGCAUUCAGAAUAAAGUGAGAAUGUCUUCUUCCUAUUGCUAAAAGACUUUGCUACAGAGUCUCUCUGGAUGCAGAGAUGGAUGAAUGAUGGAUGCAGC
rnacentral:lncRNA from 1 species